rnacentral:rRNA from 1 species
AUGAACGCUGGCGGCGUGCCUAAUACAUGCCAGUCGAGCGAACAGAUGAGGAGCUUGCUCCUCUGACGUUAGCGGCGGACGGGUGAGUAACACGUGGAUAACCUACCUAUAAGACUGGGAUAACUUCGGGAAACCGGAGCUAAUACCGGAUAAUAUUUUGAACCGCAUGGUUCAAUAGUGAAAGACGGUUUUGCUGUCACUUAUAGAUGGAUCCGCGCCGCAUUAGCUAGUUGGUAAGGUAACGGCUUACCAAGGCAACGAUGCGUAGCCGACCUGAGAGGGUGAUCGGCCACACUGGAACUGAGACACGGUCCAGACUCCUACGGGAGGCAGCAGUAGGGAAUCUUCCGCAAUGGGCGAAAGCCUGACGGAGCAACGCCGCGUGAGUGAUGAAGGUCUUCGGAUCGUAAAACUCUGUUAUUAGGGAAGAACAAAUGUGUAAGUAACUAUGCACGUCUUGACGGUACCUAAUCAGAAAGCCACGGCUAACUACGUG